rnacentral:rRNA from 1 species
UACGUAGGGUCCGAGCGUUGUCCGGAAUUACUGGGCGUAAAGCAUGCGCAGGCGGCUUCUUAGGCAUGACGUGAAAGUCCGGGGCUCAACUCCGGAUCUGCGGUGGGUACGGGCAGACUAGAGUGAUGUAGGGGAGACUGGAAUUCCUGGUGUAGCGGUGAAAUGCGCAGAUAUCAGGAGGAACACCGAUGGCGAAGGCAGGUCUCUGGGCAUUAACUGACGCUGAGGAGCGAAAGCAUGGGGAGCGAACAGG